rnacentral:rRNA from 1 species
UACGGAAGGUGCAAGCGUUAUCCGGAAUCACUGGGUUUAAAGGGUGCGGAGGCGGCUUGAUAAGUCAGGGGUGAAAGCCCGCAGCUUAACUGCGGAACUGCCUUUGAUACUGUCGAGCUUGAAAGAGGUUGAGGUCAGCGGAACGUGACAUGUAGCGGUGAAAUGCAUAGAUAUGUCACAGAACACCGAUUGCGAAGGUAGAUGGCGGGACCUACUGUGACGCUCAGGCACGAAAGCGUGGGGAGCGAACAGG